rnacentral:lncRNA from 1 species
AUCACAUCAGGGCUCACUAUCUGAGUGACAAUGAACAAGUUUCUCACCCACUUCAAGUCUUAGUUUUUCCUCUGUGAAAUGGGACUAAUUGUUUAUUAGACAAUAUUAGAAGCCAGGCGUGGUGGCUCUCGCCUGUAAUCCCAGCACUUUGGGAGGCCGAGGCGGGCAGAUCACUUGAGGUCAGGAGUUUGAGACCAGCCUGGCCAAUAUGGUGAACCCUCUCUCUACUAAAAAUACAAAACUUAGCCGGGUGUGGUGGCGUGUUCCUGUAGCCCCAGCUACUCAGGAGGCUGAGCCACGAGAAUCACUUGUACCCGGAUGGUGGGGGUUGUAGUGAGCCAAGAUCGUGCCACUGUACUCCAGCCUGGGCAACAGAGAAAGACUCAAUCUCAAAAAAAAAAAAAAAGUUAGAAAAUUAAUUUUGUUACAUGUGAGAAUAGUUUUUUGAUUAUGUAAGACAAUGUUUCUGUUUUUUAAUGAAUACUAAAACAUUCAGCAAUGAGAUGUCCCGAUAUCUUUAGCUUACCUUAAACUACUGCACAAAAAUAGACCA